GCAUCAGUGGUUUAGUGGUAAAAUCCAUCGUUGCCAUCGAUGGGCCCCGUGUUCGAUUCACGGCUGAUGCAU